rnacentral:rRNA from 1 species
ACACUCCUAACAGCUAGCCCCCUCCCCAAAAACAACAAACACCAUUAAUAAGCCCCCACAAACAACAUAAACAAACAACAAACAACAAACCAUUUUUCCUCCCUAGUAUGGGCGACAGAAAAG